CCUACGGGGGGCAGCAGUGGGGAAUAUUGCACAAUGGGGGAAACCCUGAUGCAGCGACGCCGCGUGAGUGAAGAAGUAUUUCGGAUUGUAAACUUCUGUCGCGAGGGACGAAGAAUGACGGUACCUCGUAAGAAAGCCCCGGCUAACUACGUGCCAGCAGCCGCGGUAAUACGUAGGGGGCAAGCGUUGUCCGGAAUGACUGGGCGUAAAGGGAGUGUAGGCGGCUCAUCAAGUUAGAUGUGAAAUCCCGCGGCUUAACCGCGGAACUGCAUCUAAAACUGGUAAGCUGGAGUGCAGGAGAGGUGAGUGGAAUUCCUAGUGUAGCGGUGGAAUGCGUAGAUAUUAGGAGGAACACCAGAGGCGAAGGCGACUCACUGGACUGUAACUGACGCUGAGGCUCGAAAGCGUGGGGAGCAAACAGGAUUAGAUACCCCUGUAGUC
rnacentral:rRNA from 1 species